UAGCUUUCACACAGUUGACUAGCCAGAGGCAACUAUUACCACCUCCCAGACAGAAAGGGACCUGGGCAUCCUAGCUGCUGACAGGGAGAACAUGACCAGACUGACCCCACACACUCCUCACUGGUGCUCUCACCAUGGCAAGCGCUGACAGCAAAGCCAAUUCGCUUUCGGGCCCGAUCAAAGACCACAUAGAAACCUUCCAUGAUGACAGCUCCCAUGACAGUGCCCGUGGAUGACUGUGAGAUGGCGAACUUGUAACAGUCGUCUUGGGACGUGGCCACAUCUUCCACCGGCCGCAGGUAUUGCUAGGGAUAAAUAGUCACAGGGUGAGAGCAUGCCUUCUUAUUUCACCCUCCUGCCUUUCUCUGCUUUCUAGCCGUCUGCACUUGUCUCUUCCUCAAGCCCUGAGGUGUUGAAUGUUCCAAGACCCCUUUACCACUAGACCUUCAUUUUGUCUUUCAAGUUAUAGGAAGCCACGUCUGUUUAGUAUACACACUUUGUCUUCUUCUUGGCACCCCACCACUUCAGCUUGGGGACGUACCUGAGGAAGAAUGGUGAUGCGGAAGGACUGAUUGGUGACCUCACCCAUGAGGGAAAUCUCCACAGUGGCAAAGGAAAACUAGACUAAGGAUCGGAAGAAGAAAGUGGGGCACUGGGCUCAUAAACCUGUGCUAGGGCUACUGAGCUUGGCAGCUCACACCACCUGUGGUCCCAGAAUUUGGAAGGCUGAGGCAUGAAGAUGUCAAGUUCAAGGCCAACCUGCAUUACAUUCAAGACCCUGUCUCCAAAACAAAAAAAGAAGAAAGGUACCAGCUGAGCCAACAGACCAACCACAGUUUCUGAGUGCCCUGAGUGGAAAGGUCUAUAUAUAGACAUCUUUGGUGCUUGCUGAGGUGUGUGGCUGCCACUGACUUUGACACCGUUUUGUCCUUACUCCACUGACCGAGGAGGCCGCCUUGAUGGACUUGACUGCAGCUUCAAACACUUUCUUAGGCAGACGAAGGUUGGUGGUGCCACUGUCCACGAUGCUCUUGUCAUAGUUGUACUGGGAAGGAGAGCAAAGGGUCAGAAGAGUUGGGAGGGGUUGACUCUGACAUCUAGGCAUCCUGCUAGGGUUGGCAUCUCAGCUUUGCAUACCUCCUUGGGCAAGUUACUUAACCUCUGUGAACCUGUUUCCUUGUCUCUAAACUGAAGAUAAUAACAGUACCUACCUCAAAGGUUAGCAAAAGGAUUAACUAAAUCAACAUGCUAAAAGUACUAAGUAGUUCUAGCAGAUCCCAGGCACUUGGUGAGUAUUAACUUCAUUACCUUGUGCGGGUAGGUGUUCUCCAAAUCUAAACAGAAUGCCUUGUGUGGUGUUUGUAACUUCUUCCAGUACUUUUGUGUAGUUAUUCUCAUUUAACAUACAUAAUAAUGUAGACAAGGUUGGCUCAGCGUGCAUGAAGCCCUAGGUUUGAGCCCUAGUACUGCAUGGUGGCGUAGGCCUGUAGAGCACUUGAGAGUCAGACACAGGAGGACCAGGAGUUCAACAUCAUCUUUAGCUACAUAGCAAGUCUGAGGCCAGCAUGUGCUACAUGAAACCCUACCUGAAAAAGCCAAAAAAGUGGGCCAUUGAGAUAGCUCAGCAGGUAAGGGUGCCUGCUACCAAAUAUGACCUGAGUUCAAUUCCAGGGAGAUCCAUAUGGUGGGAGAACUAGUUACUGAAAAUCGUCCUCUAACCUCCACACAGAAGCUGUAGCACAUGCACCCCCUACCCCGCUAAAAAUGUAAAAGGAAAAAAAAAAAGAA